AUUGAACGCUGGCGGCAGGCCUAACACAUGCAAGUCGGACGGUAGCACAGAGAGCUUGCUCUCGGGUGACGAGUGGCGGACGGGUGAGUAAUGUCUGGGGAUCUGCCCGAUAGAGGGGGAUAACCACUGGAAACGGUGGCUAAUACCGCAUAACGUCGCAAGACCAAAGAGGGGGACCUUCGGGCCUCUCACUAUCGGAUGAACCCAGAUGGGAUUAGCUAGUAGGCGGGGUAAUGGCCCACCUAGGCGACGAUCCCUAGCUGGUCUGAGAGGAUGACCAGCCACACUGGAACUGAGACACGGUCCAGACUCCUACGGGAGGCAGCAGUGGGGAAUAUUGCACAAUGGGCGCAAGCCUGAUGCAGCCAUGCCGCGUGUAUGAAGAAGGCCUUCGGGUUGUAAAGUACUUUCAGCGGGGAGGAAGGCGAUGUGGUUAAUAACCGCGUCGAUUGACGUUACCCGCAGAAGAAGCACCGGCUAACUCCGUGCCAGCCGCCGCAGUAA
rnacentral:rRNA from 1 species